AAUAGUUUAGUUUUUAUUUGUUUCUUUUUUUCUUUCUUCUCCAUAGGAAGAAAACCAGAGAAGUCUCAGAUUCAACCAGCUUGGCUUCCUCAAAUUCUCAGAUUUGAUCUCUUGCCACCGUCGACUGAAGCUUCACCACCACACUCCUUUUGACACCGUCGCUCUUUACCACCACCACCACCAGCUCGUCACCACCAUCGCCAUCUCUCUCUGAUUAGGGUUCUCAAGGUCGCUCCUGCUCCUCAUACGGUUUCUGGGUUGGAGAUGGCAGCAUUGAUGAAGCGGCGGAGGAGGCUUCAGCGCAGAAGAAACGUGUUUCUCUUCAGAGACAAGCCGCCGUUACGGUUGAGGCUGCUGAGGAUUACGCUCAGAUAUUUGAAUCUGGUGUCAAUGUGCUUUCCUCUCUAACGAUCAGGUUGGUGAGGAGUUGGCUCAGUCCGGCGUGAAUGUAAUGUGCAAAACGUGCUUCUUGGGAGAAAGCCAAGGAAGUGAGAGAGCAAGGAGGAUGCUUUCUAGUAAAAGCUGUGGCAAGAAGUACAAUAAGAAUUGUGUAAAGUCUUGGGCUCAACAUAUAGGUGCUUUCAUUUGAUUCGUUGUUGUGUCCUACUUUCUCUUGCUUGGUAAGGCUUUUGAAGUCUAUAAGUGCUGUAAAUUGCAGAUUUUUUUCAUUGGAGUUCAUGGAGUUGUCCCUCGUGCCGUGUUUGUGAGAUUCCAAAUGGAUUGCUGCAAGAUUGCAAGAGUCAGCAAAAUCUUUCUCUGCAUAACAAUCCCAUUUCAAUGGAUGAGUUUCGGCUGAUGGAAGGGCUGGACCUUGAAGACUGUCCUGAAAAAGAGCCUCUUGGUCAUGGAUUCUAUGCAGACUUCACUAUGGCAACAAGGAUAACAAUACCAGAUUUCAUCACCGAGUUUAUCUGUUAUAUUUUAAAAUGAGUUCAUGUGUUUCAUGUAUUUGAUUUUGUGUGUUUUGAAUCAUUUUGGAAUCUAAAUUUUUUUUAACCCCUAAUCCCUAAAUAUAUUUUAACCCCUAAACUCUAUAUAUAAUCCUAAAAUCUAAAUUUUAAACUUUUAAACUUUAUUUAAAAAAACAAUUCGAUAUAAAUAUACUAAUUCAAACCGGACCCAUCUAGUACUCUAAAUCUAAUACCCUAAAAUUCAAAGUUAAAUGAUAUUCUAAAUACUAAAUAAAAUCUCUAAAUAAUUUUUUUCAGAUUUUAAAUCCAAAAUUUAAACUUAAACUUUAAAUCUAAUUAAAAAAAAACUCCAUUCAAAAUCUUAAAUGUAAACCUUAAAUCUCCAUCAAAUUCUAUACCCUAAAUCCUAACUUCAAACAUAAACACAUACCACUAAAUAUAAACUUCCAAUAUAAAUUUUAAAAAUUUAACAAACUUCAAAUUUAAAUCUUAAUCACAAACUUUUAUAUACAACUCUAACUCCUACACUUUCAAAACUUUCAAUCCCUAAAUCAUAAUAAAUUGAUCUUUAAUCUACACUUUAUAUCUAAUACCUAAUACCCCAAACUUAAACUCUACAUACAAAUCAUAAAUACAAUAUUUACAAACUUAUAAUAGAAAUUUUAAAUUAAACUCUGAAUAUAUUCUAAAAUUCAAAUCAUAUACUGAAUCCUAAAUCUUCACCCUAACUCCUAAACCACAUAUCUCAUUUUAACAUAUAUCAUAAAACAUCAAAUCUUCUUUUUUAAUAAAUUAUAAUUCUGUAAAUAAAUUAAAAUUUAAAAUACAAAAUCUAGACUUCAAAUUUUCAAUUAUGAUAUCAAAGUAUUUAAAGCUUAAAUCAUUUGUAUAAUAGCUAUAAAUAAAUAAGAAGACAAUUUGUAUUGUUUUUUUUAACUAUUGAUUGAUUUGAAUCAAAGGCCCAAAAUCACUCUUGUAUCUAUCCCCACACUUUCUUCCUAUUGUUUUACUUGUUUAUGACAUGGAUCACCAUCUGCACCCUUGGAUGAUAUUGAAUCAACGCUUGAGAUUAAUUAUUCUUUUUUUCUUUGUUUUUUUAAUUAUCUUUUCUGAUCUACGAGAGAAGAGAUGGAGUUCGUAGAUGAUAAAGGAGAAGUCGCCACGGCCGGUCGUCGCCACCACCACCAUCGCUCGUUACCACCACCACCAUCGCCAUCUCUCCCAUCCCCAAUUGCUCGUUACCAUCACCACAAUCAUCAUCUCUCCCAUCCCCAAUCGCUCUUCACCACCACCAUCGCUUCUCAGAUUCGUCUUCACCACCGUCACGCUCGUCAUAACCACCACUGUUCACUUCUCUGUCUCUCACUCUAUGUCUCUGGUGGAGCAUACAGGACCAAGAGGGAUGACUCUGCCAAAACUAUGUCUCAGCGUUUGCAAGGUGGUGGUCGUGACUCGUGAGCAAGAGCUGAUGUUCUGCAGAGGAGAUGUCUCGAACUCGUCUCCGUCUAGACUCACACGAAUGUUGCAGUCUCUCAUUGGAAUUGCCAAGUGCAGCCUUUGAAGGAUUAUACAAAUAAAACAUUGCUCUACGGCAGACUUGAAGACAAUAUUGCUUAAGUAUGGGUGUUGAGAUAAGUUAUCUUGUUCGUUAAUCUUGUACUGAUUGGUUCCCAUCUUAAGCAUAGGUGUAUGUCCUCAAAUCAUUGUAUUUAGCAACACUUGUUCUGUGUGCUUUUCAGAUACUGGUGAAGCUUGAAGAAGGUGGAAGAGACAGAUGAACCUCGAGGAAGGUUGAAGUGAAACAACGAGCUUGAGGAAGGCGGCGGCUUAGGUUUAGUUUUUGGGUUAAUGUGUUUUAAUUAGUUUUUGUUUUAUAUGUACUUGUUUAGUUUUGUAAAAUUGAUUGUAUUUGUAAACUGAUUUUAGUGAAUAAAUAAAAUUUCAUUUUUAAUUA